rnacentral:rRNA from 1 species
UACGGAGGGGGCUAGCGUUGUUCGGAAUUACUGGGCGUAAAGCGUACGUAGGCGGCUUUGUAAGUUAGAGGUGAAAGCCCGGGGCUCAACUCCGGAAUUGCCUUUAAGACCGCAUCGCUUGAAUCAUGGAGAGGUGAGUGGAAUUCCGAGUGUAGAGGUGAAAUUCGUAGAUAUUCGGAAGAACACCAGUGGCGAAGGCGACUCACUGGACAUGUAUUGACGCUGAGGUACGAAAGCGUGGGGAGCGAACAGG